UGUAAUCGUAUACCAAAGUUGUUGCAGUUAAAACGCUCGUAGUCGGAAUUUGGCAGUUCCGGAAGUGUGCACGUCGUGUGCGCACUUUGCGGGGACUGCUUUUGUGGUCUUGCGUAGGAUGAGGCACUUUCAUUAGUGAACGUCCUCACGCAACCACUCUUUACUGUGAGAAAAUCAGAGUGCUCAAAGCAGGCAUUUGCCGUGAAUGUAUUAGCAUGGAAUAAUAGAAUAGGACUCGGUUCUAUUUUGUUGGUUUGUUGGGACUGAGUAAUGAUUAAGAGGGACAGUUGGGGGCAUUUGUAUUCCGGCGCUAGAGGUGAAAUUCUUAGAUUGCCGGAAGACAAACUGCUGCGAAAGCGUCUGCCAAGGAUGUUUUCAUUGA
rnacentral:rRNA from 1 species